CAGUCGCCACGGGAAUACAGAGGGUGCAAGCGUUAAUCGGAUUUACUGGGCGUAAAGGGCGCGUAGGUGGUUAUGUAAGUGAGAUGUGAAAUCCCCGGGCUCAACCUGGGAACUGCAUUUGUGACUGCAUGACUAGAGUACGGCAGAGGGGGAUGGAAUUCCGCGUGUAGCAGUGAAAUGCGUAGAUAUGCGGAGAAACACCGAUGGCGAAGGCAGCCCCCUGGGCCAAUACUGACGCUCAUGCACGAAAGCGUGGGGAGCAAACAGGAUUAGAUACCCGAGUAGUCCCUGUCUCUUAUAC
rnacentral:rRNA from 1 species